GACGAACGCUGGCGGCGUGCCUAAUACAUGCAAGUAGAACGCUGAAGGAGGAGCUUGCUUCUCUGGAUGAGUUGCGAACGGGUGAGUAACGCGUAGGUAACCUGCCUGGUAGCGGGGGAUAACUAUUGGAAACGAUAGCUAAUACCGCAUAAGAGUAGAUGUUGCAUGACAUUUGCUUAAAAGGUGCAAUUGUAUCACUACCAGAUGGACCUGCGGUGUAUUAGCUAGUUGGUGGGGUAACGGCUCACCAAGGCGACGAUACAUAGCCGACCAGGGAGGGGGAACGGGCCCGACUGGAAUUGGACACGGCCCAGACCCCUUAGGGGAGGAGGCAGAAGGGAACUUUGGGAAUGGGGGGAAGGCUGGACGAAGAAAGCCGGGGGGGGGAAGAAGGGUGUCGGAUCGUAAAACUCUGUUGUAAGGGAAGGAAGAGAGGGGGAGUGGAAAAUUCACGCUGUGACGGUAUCUUACCAGAAAGGGACGGCUAACUACGUG
rnacentral:rRNA from 1 species